rnacentral:rRNA from 1 species
UACGUAGGGCGCAAGCGUUGUCCGGAAUUAUUGGGCGUAAAGAGCUUGUAGGCGGUUUGUCGCGUCUGCUGUGAAAUUUCGGGGCUCAACCCCGAACUUGCAGUGGGUACGGGCAGACUAGAGUGUGGUAGGGGAGACUGGAAUUCCUGGUGUAGCGGUGAAAUGCGCAGAUAUCAGGAGGAACACCGGUGGCGAAGGCGGGUCUCUGGGCCGUAACUGACGCUGAGGAGCGAAAGCAUGGGGAGCGAACAGG